rnacentral:tRNA from 1 species
GGUUUUAUAUUCAACAAUGAUUUUAGACUGCAAUUCUGAAGGUGUAAUUAUUACUAAGGCCU